CUGCUGCCAAGGUUGUUUACGCGGGGUUGUGGACGUUUAUUUGCAGUGGACAUCUGAGAUCAUGAGUUCUUUGGAAUGUUAAAAAAGGUUGGAGACACCACUGACUCACCCUGGGGUAAGGAAU